GCCUCCUUGGCUCAGGGGCAGAGCGUCUGCCUAGUAAGCAGAAGGUCGAGAGUUCAAAUCUCUCAGGAGGCA